CAGUCGCCGCGGGAAUACGGAGGGUGCAAGCGUUAAUCGGAAUUACUGGGCGUAAAGCGCACGCAGGCGGUCUGACAAGUCAGAUGUGAAAUCCCCGGGCUUAACCUGGGAACUGCAUUUGAAACUGUCAGGCUGGAGUCUUGUAGAGGGGGGUGGAAUUCCAGGUGUAGCGGUGAAAUGCGUAGAGAUCUGGAGGAAUACCGGUGGCGAAGGCGGCCCCCUGGACAAAGACUGACGCUCAGGUGCGAAAGCGUGGGGAGCAAACAGGAUUAGAGACCUCAGUAGUCCCUGUCUCUUAUAC
rnacentral:rRNA from 1 species